UACGGGAGGCAGCAGUAGGGAAUCUUCCGCAAUGGGCGAAAGCCUGACGGAGCAACGCCGCGUGAGUGAUGAAGGUCUUCGGAUCGUAAAACUCUGUUAUUAGGGAAGAACAAAUGUGUAAGUAACUAUGCACGUCUUGACGGUACCUAAUCAGAAAGCCACGGCUAACUACGUGCCAGCAGCCGCGGUAAUACGUAGGUGGCAAGCGUUAUCCGGAAUUAUUGGGCGUAAAGCGCGCGUAGGCGGUUUUUUAAGUCUGAUGUGAAAGCCCACGGCUCAACCGUGGAGGGUCAUUGGAAACUGGAAAACUUGAGUGCAGAAGAGGAAAGUGGAAUUCCAUGUGUAGCGGUGAAAUGCGCAGAGAUAUGGAGGAACACCAGUGGCGAAGGCGACUUUCUGGUCUGUAACUGACGCUGAUGUGCGAAAGCGUGGGGAUCAAACAGGAUUAGAUACCCUGGUAGUCCACGCCGUAAACGAUGAGUGCUAAGUGUUAGGGGGUUUCCGCCCCUUAGUGCUGCAGCUAACGCAUUAAGCACUCCGCCUGGG
rnacentral:rRNA from 1 species